rnacentral:rRNA from 1 species
UAGGGAAUCUUCGGCAAUGGACGAAAGUCUGACCGAGCAACGCCGCGUGAGUGAAGAAGGUUUUCGGAUCGUAAAACUCUGUUGUUAGAGAAGAACAAGGACGUUAGUAACUGAACGUCCCCUGACGGUAUCUAACCAGAAAGCCACGGCUAACUACGUGCCAGCAGCCGCGGUAAUACGUAGGUGGCAAGCGUUGUCCGGACUUAUUGGGCGUAAAGCGAGCGCAGGCGGUUUCUUAAGUCUGAUGUGAAAGCCCCCGGCUCAACCGGGGAGGGUCAUUGGAAACUGGGAGACUUGAGGGCAGAAGGGGGGAGUGGAAUUCCAUGUGUAGCGGUGAAAGGCGUAGAUAUAUGGAGGAACACCAGGGGCGAAGGCGGCUCUCUGGUCUGUAACGGACGCUGAGGCUCGAAAGCGUGGGGAGCAAACAGG